UCUUAUGAAUGAACAAAGAAAGUCCUUUCUUAAAAUGGAAUCUACUCCUGGUGCAGAUGCUGUGAA
rnacentral:pre_miRNA from 1 species